UUCACAGUUUAUAUUGUCACAUAGCCGAAGAUUCACACGGAUUUCCAAACUGCAAACCUACUUAGAAAAGGGCAAAUUAAUUUUUGUCCAGGGGAUGAACUGACAUCAUUUGUACCAUUUGCUUCCUCAGGCCCCUCAUACACAUACCUUAAAGUUAUCAAGCAUAUACAACAGGCAAUUAGGUCUUAAUCAAGUCCCACUUUUCCCACAUGAUCUGAGGUUGGAAUCCAUAUAAGACAGGAUUAAGCAAUAAGCACGUCAGUUAGGUGAAAGGAUGAGGACAAUGGGGACUCUACCACAACAGUUCUUGUUUCAUAGAGCAAGGAACAUCUUCACAAAAUGUUCCUUUUAGGUCCUUUUUUCGUUGACGUUCACCAACAGGGAACUAAGAAUGACUUGUAAAACUCUGCCUGGCGUUUGGUGUCUCAUAAUCCCCAGGUCUGAAUGCCUGGCAGGUAGGUGCAGGGAUCCCCUCCAAAGACUUGUGGCUGUUUUAGAAAUGCUGGUUUAUGAGGCACAGCUGAAAUUUCUUCUCCUGACUCUGGAGUUUCGAAAGGAUGAAGAUGGUAAAAUUUCCAUGAGAGGGCACAGGGAGUCGUGUGUCUAUAUAAACUAACCAGUGUCCCUGGUCUGUACACUUCUUCUUCUUGAAAAUUACACAUUUUGGGGUAUUUUAGCAAACGAAGACAUAUUUUCAAGUAUUUUAGUGAUGGUAAUUGUGAAAGGCAGAAUCUGUCACAGGAAACCUGCACCCAUGAUGCCAACCAGUGGCCAUUUGUCAUUGCUAAUAAGCUCUGAAUUCACCAGAACAGACACCAACUCCCAUCUCCAAUCCAUGCACAGUUUUAUAAUCAUUCACAUUGCAUUUUUUCCCCUUGAUCCUAUCAGCAACAAAGUUUGUCCUAAAAACAUCCCACAAGGAUCACUGAAUCCAGCCCAGCUCCUCCAUCGAGCUCAGGUUCUACACAGGAACACACAACCUGUGUUUCUGAGAGUGUUGUUCAAAUUCCUCUUGAACUCCGGAACAUGUUUGUGUAAAAGACUUACCGUGGGUCCCCAGUGGAUUGUCCCACACCGGGGACAUCUUGCCCUGCUUCCAGGGAAAGGGAAGCAAGCAGAAAUGUGGUCUGGUAUGGGGAAAUUUUCUACUCUCACAUGGGAAGCAUUUCAAUUUUUCCAUGCACCACAGGGAUGAGCAUCUCUGGCUUGGUUGACUGGGACAGCCUGGCUGCUGCCUCAUGUCUCAGGCACAGAAGAGAAGUUCAGCGUGCAGAGGCAUGCAGAGAAACUGAAAGCAAUGAGGGUGGUGGCUUGAAAGAGAGAGAAGCUGAAACCAUCUCAGAGGCAACCAGCAGCAAGCCCUCAGCUGCCCAGGGCCAGGCACAACUGGAAUAUGCAACCUGAAAAUCCUGCAUACCUGUUGUGUCCACCUGAGGCUGCAGAGAAUAUUCAUAGUAAGUAUUUGGGUCUGGAACUGUGUCUGGCUGCAUUGCCCCUGCCUACACUGAGCAGCUCAAUCCAUAUGAUAAGCAAAGACUGCUGCUGCCCCACAGACCUCAUGGCAUGAUUGCACGUGGCAUUACUCCUUAGCCAGGUUAUAGUCAGAGAGAUCCAGGCUCAGAAAUCCCAGCUGUUAAAUAUGUGCAUGUUAGCCCAGACCUUACUGACAGCUCCAGAUUAGGCACUAACUGUGCAUGUAGUUAGGAACGGGUGCUAAUCUCCAGCAGCUGGCUGCAGCAGCCUCUUCUUCCUCUGCAGCCGCAGGCACACCGGCGUAUCUGAGUGUUUCAGAGCCGUGUGAUGCAGUGGGCCACGUGCCAGGAGGCUUAAAUCACUCCAGCUCAGGAAGCGUACAGGAACCGUCCCGCCAGGCCCACGUGCCCACUGCAAGUCCUCAAUGCCAGCGCGCUGUGGCGUGUGCUGACAGCGCUGGAUGCAGUUCAACACGGGCACGGGUUUCAGCAGAUGCUGUAGCCUGUUCCAGAACAGCUACGAGGCUUGGCCCUGCGACAGAGCCACGGGCUGGCUUUUCAAAGUCUCAAACAGCUUAUAAAUGAACAGAAAGGGACUUUUUCUGUCCACCAAAACCAACAGUCGUAAUACCUGAGUCCCAGCCAGAAACUUGUAUAUCUGCCCUGGCCACAUUUUGUGAAAGCAUUCUGGAUCGUAGAAAUGCAGAGAGCCGAUGAUCCCCUGCACAAGUGCUGGGUGCAAAGUCUGCAGGCCUCUUCCUGUGGUGCCCUUUGUGCUUUUGGCAGGCGGGAGAUGUUUACUGACCUGUGGAAAUAAAAAUCCUAAUGGAUGCAAAGGUGAUCACAUAAAUAUUAAUUACGCAGCGGUGUAGCAACCGCGUAACAGCACCUGCCUCAUGGGUUUUGUAGCUGUAUUCCCACUUAUUAUUUGUAUUAAAAUAGCAUCCAGGAGUCUCUUCUCACUGACUGCCACGUGAACCCAUGCUCCCUGAGUCGUAGGUCUAAUUUGUGAAGGAACUCAGUCACUCCCUGAUCACCUCGUGUCCUGGGAGGAUAAAUCAUGCCUUUACAGCUCCUAAUCAAACACGUCUUUGUUAUCUCGGAGACCUGCCUAGAUGUAUUCCAACACGUUUGGCAAGUUUGAUUUCUCACUGCGGAAUGUCACAGUUUACCCUCCCAUAGCAUUCAGGUGACUCCCAAAUGUUGCAGAUCCUCACUGGUGCCGCAGCACAAGGUCACACCAACACUGGAAAUGCAGCUUCCACAUUCCACAGAGAGCCUUUAAACGAAAAGACCAUGCAACCUGCCCAUUACAGCACUGGGAAGCUACAGCUCAUCAUCUUUGCGGAGCAGGAAGAAUGAGGUAAGAAGAACCAAAGAGCUGCUCCAGGAGCACAAGGAAGAAGCACUCUGAGCCAGCCCCACUGGCAUUCCUCACCUUUGGAGCCAGAGUUUGCAGAGAAGAGACAGCUGCCUGCUUUCCUGCAUGCUGGCGUGGGCACACUUGUACUUAGCUCACCUGCAGUCUCCCCUUCACAUAAACACAUUCAGGGUGCUUACCGGCCCACAGAUAGGAUCAUUCAUCAAAAUUCAU
ensembl:lncRNA